rnacentral:rRNA from 1 species
AUAAGCAUGCAAGUCGAACGCCCCGCAGGGGGAGUGGCAGACGGGUGAGUAACGCGUGGGAAUCUACCCAUCUCUGCGGAAUAGCUCUGGGAAACUGGAAUUAAUACCGCAUACGCCCUACGGGGGAAAGAUUUAUCGGGGAUGGAUGAGCCCGCGUUGGAUUAGCUAGUUGGUGGGGUAAAGGCCUACCAAGGCGACGAUCCAUAGCUGGUCUGAGAGGAUGAUCAGCCACAUUGGGACUGAGACACGGCCCAAACUCCUACGGGAGGCAGCAGUGGGGAAUAUUGGACAAUGGGCGCAAGCCUGAUCCAGCCAUGCCGCGUGAGUGAUGAAGGCCUUAGGGUUGUAAAGCUCUUUCACCGAUGAAGAUAAUGACGGUAGUCGGAGAAGAAGCCCCGGCUAACUUCGUGCCAGCAGCCGCGGUAAUACGAAGGGGGCUAGCGUUGUUCGGAAUUACUGGGCGUAAAGCGCACGUAGGCGGAUAUUUAAGUCAGGGGUGAAAUCCCGCAGCUCAACUGCGGAACUGCCUUUGAUACUGGGUAUCUUGAGUAUGGAAGAGGUAAGUGGAAUUCCGAGUGUAGAGGUGAAAUUCGUAGAUAUUCGGAGGAACACCAGUGGCGAAGGCGGCUUACUGGUCCAUUACUGACGCUGAGGUGCGAAAGCGUGGGGGAGCAAACAGGAUUAGAUACCCUGGUAGUCCACGCCGUAAACGAUGAAUGUUAGCCGUCGGGCAGUAUACUGUUCGGUGGCGCAGCUAACGCAUUAAACAUUCCGCCUGGGGGAGUACGGUCGCAAGAUUAAAACUCAAAGGAAUUGACGGGGGCCCGCACAAGCGGUGGAAGCAUGUGGUUUAAUUCGAAGCAACGCGCAGAACCUUACCAGCUCUUGACAUUCGGGGUAUGGGCAUUGGAGACGAU